UACAGAGGUCCCAAGCGUUGUUCGGAUUCAUUGGGCGUAAAGGGUGCGUAGGUGGCGUCGUAAGUCGGGUGUGAAAUUUCGGAGCUCAACUCCGAAACUGCAUUCGAUACUGCGGUGCUUGAGGACUGGAGAGGAGACUGGAAUUUACGGUGUAGCAGUGAAAUGCGUAGAUAUCGUAAGGAAGACCAGUGGCGAAGGCGAGUCUCUGGACAGUUACUGACGCUGAGGCACGAAGGCCAGGGGAGCAAACGGG
rnacentral:rRNA from 1 species